rnacentral:rRNA from 1 species
UACGGGGGGGCAAGCGUUGUUCGGAAUUACUGGGCGUAAAGGGCUUGUAGGUGGCCAACUAAGUCAGACGUGAAAUCCCUCAGCUUAACUGGGGAACUGCGUCUGAUACUGGAUGGCUUGAGUUUGGGAGAGGGAUGCGGAAUUCCAGGUGUAGCGGUGAAAUGCGUAGAUAUCUGGAGGAACACCGGUGGCGAAGGCGGCAUCCUGGACCAACACUGACACUGAGGAGCGAAAGCCAGGGGAGCAAACGGG